UUACAGGUGAUUGGUCACUUCCCAGGAGGCCUUGAAGAACCAGAGAGAAGCACUGACUCUAGCAUAGGUGUCAGGGUAGCAGGAGAAGAAUUGCCCCAGGAUGAGGAGAGGUCAGAAGCCAGGAAACAGAUAGGAAAACCCAAGGUUCAGGGAGAAGAGGAAAUUGAGAGAGAGGCUCAAGACUGAGUCUGUGAAGGAAGAAUGUAUCAGUCAGUGCGGGAUCAUUGCUGUAACAAACAACCCCAAGUCUCAGGCUUUUAAUUCCAGAAGAGUCAGUUUAUUACUCAUGCCAUAAGUUCAAAGCAGGUCAGUGGAGGAGAGAGAGCACUGCUCCAUUCAGUCAUUUAGGGACCCAGGCCCCCUCCAUCCUGUAGCUUGCCUCCCCUCAAGGUCUUCAAAGUCCUCACCAUCCAGAGGGAAGUUGAAGAAAGAGAGGACACUGGUGUUAUUAUUGAUAUUAAGCCAGCCCAGGAGUCCCCUCUCUUCUGGACAUCGGCAGGUCAGUGUAGAAGCGUUAGGACAGGGGGGCUGAAUUCCUCUCUUUCUGAGGGGCAGUGGAGCCCGAGCCAGCCUGUGGCUUCAUCAUCCACACCUUCAGUGUCCCCGGGGGCUCUCCUGACAUCUUGACGUCAGCACAGUCCCUCUUCUGCAUAAGAUUCUUACAGUACUUAAUUCCAGGGCUAAUCUGGGACCCUGACUCUAAUUUACGGCCUGGGUAACGGCUGUAUUUAUCAGGCAGCGGUCUCCCUCCAGGUGCUGGGGUUACCGCGACCAAGACGAAUGCAGACUCCGUUUCCCUGAGGCUUCAACUCCUGGAAGACAGCCACGUGGAGGAGGCUACAGCUGCCUUCAGACAUCGAAGAGGGGAACCCCCAGAAGCCCAAGGGUGCGGUCUGUGGUCAGGGCAGCGAAUGGCCCCCGGGAGGCUGCACUCUGGGCUCUGGUCCUGGCGGCAUGAUCAACUUUCUGGGCGACCUCGGACAAGUCACUCUCCCUCUCUGAACUUUAGUGUCCUCAUCUAUAAAGCGAGUGCACUGGUCUAAGACCCCAGCCAGGUCUUAGCUGCAGCCCUCGGAACCUUUAGUUGUGGCGUUCAAACUCCUGAUUGCGGCAUGUGGGAUCUAGUUCCCUGACCGGGAACCAAACCCCAGGCCUCCUGCAUUGGGAGGACAGAGUCUUAGCCUCCAGGCCCCCAUGGAAGUCCCUCAAUUAUUAAAAAAUAAGAAAUCAUCUGA
ensembl:lncRNA